GUUCCAUGUGAACAUCACUUGGACAUGGGUUAGUAGAUCCUAAGAGAUGGGGAACCCUUGUAUCAAGGGUGCACUCUGCAUGAACAUCGAAAGAGAAUUGGGUUAAUAUUCUCGAACCGAGACAUGGUGGUGGACGACAAUGUUAGGAAAUAUGGAGAUGUCAUUGGGGGUUUGGGAAGAGUUAUCUUUUAUUUUUAACGACUUUCCCACCCUGAAAUUGGUUCAACCAGAGAUAGGGUCCAACAUAUGGAAGAGUUCCACAUGUCUUGUAGUGUUUGGUGCCCCCUCGACAACCAUUGAAAAUAUGGAGAACCGAGUACCAUCCAUGCUCGAUCGUACUCAUAUCUGCCUCCUUGGAUUUUUCAAUGCCC
rfam:Picea glauca, whole genome shotgun sequence.